CCUUUAGCAUACCUCAGUAGCAGAGCUUCUGCCUUGCAUGCAGAAGGUCCCAGGUUCGGAUCCUGGCAUUGCCAGGU